AACACUAUACUUCCAGGUAUCAUUCCUACAGGUCAUUACUAGAGAAGUUCCUCUGAGCAUAUAGAGCACCUGAAACUAUGAGGAGCCACAACAUUUUCUCCUGAGCAUGAAGCUGGAUUUAGCUGUUGCUUUUGUAACUGCCUUUUGCCACUGGUGAUCAUUCUUGUCUUCUUUUGGGAGAGGAGAGGGAGAGGACACAGUCUGGGUAAU
rfam:Erinaceus europaeus unplaced genomic scaffold scaffold00400, whole genome shotgun sequence